rnacentral:rRNA from 1 species
GACGAACGCUGGCGGCGUGCUUAACACAUGCAAGUCGAACGAUGAACCCGGAGCUUGCUCCGGUGGAUUAGUGGCGAAUGGGUGAGUAACACGUGAGUAACCUGCCCUUGACUCUGGGAUAACUGCGGGAAACUGUAGCUAAUACCGGAUACGACCCUCGGCGGCAUCGCCAGGGGGUGGAAAGAAUUUCGGUCAAGGAUGGACUCGCGGCCUAUCAGCUAGUUGGUGGGGUAACGGCUCACCAAGGCGACGACGGGUAGCCGGCCUGAGAGGGUGACCGGGCGCACUGGGACGGAGACACGGCCCAGACUCAUACGGGAGGCAGCAGUGGGGAAUAUUGCACAAUGGGCGCAAGCCUGAGGCAGCAACGCCGCGUGAGGGAGGACGGCCUUCGGGUUGUAAGCCUCUUUUAGUAGGGAAGAAGCGAAAGUGACGGUACCUGCAGAAAAAGCACCGGCUAACUACGUGCCAGCCGCCGCAGUAA